rnacentral:lncRNA from 1 species
AUAAUCUCUAAUUGUAAUACUACGCCUUCACAGCUUCUAGUACACAAUUACCCUCAUUCUAAUCACUGGAAUUCUUCACACAAGACUGCCAUUCACAUUACGGUAUUUCACACAAACAAAGACUCAUUCUCUCUGCUGAACUACAAUCAGAUUUUAGCAUUCAAUCUUUCUUCUUCUCAAAUAAUACCAAUCACAUUUCUAUUCUAUAAUUCACUUCACAAUAUUCAGAAACUCUCAAUCCUCUUAUUCAAAGAAAAUAACAAAGAAAAGAAAAGAGGUAGCACCAAGCUUACUCCAGCUUACAACUAUCACAGCAAUGGCAUUUUCUUCCCCUCUUCCAUCCUCCUUAUACUACCUUGAGAUAUCAACUCCUAAACUAUAGAUGAUAACUACUUUUCUUGACUAUUCAUCCAUUCUACCUACUGAAUCACAUUUUCACUAAUUAUCUAUCCUUGUUUAUACUAUACACUAGGUAUCUUCAUUUUGAAAAUAAUUACUUAUUCUACACAGUCCCACUCCUAACUAUGCAGCGUCCUCGCAAAUACUCAAUUGAUACCUAUCUAAAAAUUAUCUAACAAAAUUCUACAAAAAUUGUGAUCCCUCUGGCCUAUCUAAUUAAUCAACUACCACAAUAUUUGUUAUUG